ensembl:lncRNA
ACUCCCAAGAAGGAAGGUUCUCUAUCUGAAGAUCACUCCUCUUGGAGUGCUUCUGCAAGCCUGGGAUACAGGUUUCAAACCAAUGGAAAUGCACUGAUGGGAUGUGCAGUGGAAACGCUAAGUCACAGCUUGAACCAGUGAUUGAGCACCUAGUGGGAAGGCAGGGCCAACUCAAAGGACCUCAGGUGCGUGCAAUGUACCGCAGUGACUGGAAGGGGUGGAGCCAGGAUUCACCGCCUCCCAGACCUCAUUUAAGGGUUGGCAGUGGAAGUGAGGAUAUUUUGCUGGAGAUCCCUGCCUACCUGAGCCUAUCUGAAGGAAUGUGUUCCAAGAGGAUUCAUGCUUUGAUUUUCCUGGAGUCUAAGGUGAAACUGAUAGACUACUAGUUCUGAGUACACUUCAAC